GACAGAGGUCCCGAGCGUUAGGCGGAAUCACUGGGCUUAAAGCGUGUGUAGGCGGAUGCCUAAGUACCUUUGUGAAAUCCCCACGGCUCACCCCGGUCGGAACUGCUUGGUUAUACUGGGUGUCUUAGCCACUUAGGGCUACCGGAACAAAUGGUGGAGCGGUGAAAUGCGUAGAUAUCAUUUGGAACGCCAAAUGUGAAAAACAGGUAGCUGGGAGUGUGCUGCUGAGACACGAAGCCAGG
rnacentral:rRNA from 1 species